GUUUGUUGGUAUUGAAUAGGCUUAGAAACUACUGGACCGAUUUGAAAAACUCUUAUCAUUACAAAGCUUAGUUUUCAGGGAGUGACAGGUUUUUUAUCCUGGGAAAUAUGUUAGGUCCACGGAAGCUGAGCCGCGAGCAAAGUUUAUGUCACUAAUAUUUUAAUAUAAAUGUGCAAAUAUCUUCAUGUGUGUUUCUCACAAUUAAUUGUAAUAAAUUUGCAAUUUCAGGCACAUCUCUGCAAAGGAAUUCUGCAUCAAACUGGCUGUUAGAACAUAAUUAUAGUGUUUUAAGCAAGCCUCGAAGAACAAUUGGGAAAGGUAUUGUUCAGCUAUUAUUUAAAAUAUUUUUUGUUCUAUAGGCAGUGUGAUGGCAAUCAUUCGUUUUAAUACCUAUUUUAGAUAUUAAAACUGGAAAUUUCUUGUGAGUUUAAGUAGGCUUAAAAAUGUUUUCAACAGAUAUUCCCAACAACUUAAAGCUGACAAUAAACAACUACACAUUCUCAACAAUAGUAUAGAUAGUAGAUUUUAUCAAAUUUAUCAAAUAUAAAUUGUUUGUUGCACAAUAUCUCAUAAUGUAAAAGUUAACUUUUUACUUAUGUAGUUCGAAUUAUCACAUAUAAAUUAUCUUUUCACAGAUCUAAUGGGUCCAUUGCGCAAGAAGAUCAAGGAUCUCCAGGCGGAAGUAUCACGCCAACGCAAGAAGAACCAGUUUUUUAAAGCAAGAUUAAAUGGAGCGGAAGUGGUAUCCAGCAAAAUGGCUAUGGAUAAUUUCGCAAAGAUUUUAGAUAAACCGGCCCGAUUGUUUCUCCAAAUGCAACUGCAGGCAUCAAAGAAACCAAAAGGACGUCGCUUUACGCAUAAUGAAAAGGUGCUUUCUUUGUCACUAUACAAAAAAAGUCCUAAGGCAUAUAGUCUAUUAAGUAAACUUUUUACUUUGCGUUCAAGCAAAUGUAUGAAGCAUCUUUUGAGCACUGUAAAAAUACACCAAGGAAUUGUUCCUAUAGUGUACGAAAGAAUUAAAAAAACUAUGUCGGAAAAACAUGAAAAUGACCGGUUGUGUUCACUAAUAUUUGACGAGAUGUCCUUGACACCUCAAGUGAAUUAUAAUACUCAGCAAGAUAUUUUGGUAGGCCUUGCCAUCAAUAAAUAUAAAAAAAAAUACUGACCAUGUUUUGGUGUUUAUGGUCAAAGGAAUAAAACAAAACUUCAAACAGCCUAUAGCUUAUAAUUUUACAACCGGUCUAAACAAAGGAGAGCUAAAAAAUAUUAUUAUUGACGUCAUAAACCAUGCUCAAAGGUCGGGUCUUAUAAUAAUUAAUACGGUAUGUGACCAAAGCGCUGUAAAUGUUGGCGCCGUAACGGAAUUAAUUAAUGAGACCAAAUCAAAAUAUUUAACUAAGCUAAAAGAGUGGCGGUAUGACCAUUUUUUAAUAAAUGGAAAAGUUAUUAUUCCAUUAUUUGAUGUGCCUCAUUUGAUAAAAGGUAUAAGAAAUAAUUUAAUCACGAAAGAUUUGGUGUAUGAGUCCAACAACAUAGUAAAAACUGUUAAAUGGGAACACUUCCAAAAAGUAUAUGCCGCAGACAAAUCGUUUGGUGAACUAAGGCUAUUAGAUAAAUUAACCGAAGAACAUGUAAACCCUGAAAAAAUCAAUAAAAUGAGAGUGAAAUCGGCAACGCAAUUAUUUAGCCACAGCGUCGCUGUGGCUACGGAACAUUUAACAGCCAGAGGCGAUUUACCUUUCGAAUGUAAACAAAUAUUAGAAAUUACUUUGUUGUUGGACAACUUAUUUGAUUCUUUGAAUGUUAGCAGUUUUUUCAUUCCUAAUGGAAAAAUAUUAAAA